rnacentral:rRNA from 1 species
AACGGAGGGGACAAGCGCUGUUCGGAAUUACUGGGCGUAAAGGGCGCGUAGGCGGCUUACCAAGUCAGGCGUGAAAUUCCCGGGCUCAACCUGGGGGCUGCGCUUGAUACUGAUGAGCUUGAAUGCGGGAGAGGAUAGUGGAAUUCCCAGUGUAGAGGUGAAAUUCGUAGAUAUUGGGAAGAACACCGGUGGCGAAGGCGGCUAUCUGGCCCGUAAUUGACGCUGAGGCGCGAAAGCGUGGGGAGCAAACAGG